rnacentral:tRNA from 1 species
GUUUUAAUAAUUUAACUAAAAAUAUUGAUUUUGUAAAUCAAUUAUAAGAUUAUUCUUUUAAAACA